rnacentral:rRNA from 1 species
UACUGUAAGAAUAAGCACCGGCUAAUUCCGUGCCAGCAGCCGCGGUAAUACGGAAGGUGCAAGCGUUAUCCGGUUUUAUUGGGUUUAAAGGGUGCGUAGGCGGCUUAUUAAGUCAGUUGUGAAAUCCUAGUGCUUAACGCUAGAACUGCAAUUGAUACUAUUAGGCUUGAGUUAAGAAUAGGUAAGUAGAAUUUAUGGUGUAGUAGUGAAAUGCUUAGAUAUCAUAAGGAAUACCAAUAGCGUAGGCAGCUUACUGGUCUUUAACUGACGCUGAGGCACGAAAGCGUGGGGAGCAAACAGGAUUAGAUACCCUGGUAGUCCACGCCGUAAACGAUGAUCACUCGGUAUACAUAAAUUUAUGUGUGUCUAAGCGAAAGCGUUAAGUGAUCCACAAAA